UACUAGAUUUACUUCUCUAAUUUUCCCUUGGCAUUGAGCAAGUUGCCUGUUGCAAUGCCAUUUUCUUUUUCUCUUGCAACUCGAAGAACCUGGUACCCAACUUGAAACCCUAAUCUUGAUCUGGCAUGGGGAGCAGCAAUCUUCCUCCCAGAAUCAUCAAGGAAACCUAGAGAUUACUGAACGAGCGAGGGAUCGUGUUUCUCAUUUUGGGACAUUACCUCUUGGGAUUUUGCUCGUACGAAGGUUCGCUUUCUCACUAAAAUCUACCAUCCAAUAUUGACAAGGGAAGUAAAUAGGCUUCAUAUUUUUCUUCAGAGAUGCUAUUGAUCUCUAUUAAAUAGGUUAAUGAUUCAUACAGCUUGGACGAAUAUGCCUUGCUAUUCUCAAAGACAAGUGGAGUCCAGCACUACAAAUUCGAACAGUAUUGCCGAGCAUUCAAGCACUAUUGAGCGCUCCCAACUCAGAUGGCCCACUGAGAAUAUUGCCCAGCAUUGGAAGCUGAAGCUGAAGCUGUAGAGACAGGUAUGGGGUUAAUUCGUUCCUACCUAUAUAAGCAGUGUCCUCAUCUCUCAUAUUUGGAUGGUGGGAUCUACUCGGAGUCAGUAGGAUCCACCAUCCAAAUGUGAGAGGUGAGGGUACUACCUGUCCAUUUAGGUUGAAAUUUCCCCAGGUGUGGUACUAUCCUUUAAAGUCAAAUACUGUCUAGGAAUUUCAAAAAGCUACCGCUAC